CCAGGAUCUCUGCCUGUACCUCUUGAGCACAGAGUUCAGAAUUAAGAUCUGGAUUUGAGAUAGAACAUAGGACAUUUUACUCAAGGGAAGACCUACCAAUAUGCUGAUUGCCGGUGUGCUGAAGGCAGUCAUAGCCUCCAUCUGUCUUGGAUCCAGCAUGACCCAGAAAGUAAUUCAAGCCCAGUCUGCAAUUUCUGUGGUGGAGAAGGAGGCUGUGACCUUGAACUGUGCAUAUGAAGUUAGCAGUUACAAUUACUAUUUAUUCUGGUACAAACAACCACCAAGUGGGAAAAUGACUUUUCUUAUUCACCAGGAGUCUUAUAAUGAGCAAAAUACCACGGAGGGUCGAUAUUCUCUGAACUUCCAGAAAUCAGCCAGUUCUAUCAGCCUCACCAUCACAGACUCACAGCUCGGGGACUCAGCGGUGUAUUUCUGUGCUUUGAGAGAUGACACAGUGAUGUGGGUGCCUGUGGGGGCCCCAAAAAAUCAUCAACAUGAGAUAGAAGCCCUGGGGAGGGACUCCAUCACAGACAGGAUGAAGCAGGGGCUGUGUCAACACAGGCCCGGCAUUUUCAGAAUAGUUACCAAAUUUAUACAAACAAGAUUACAAGUCCUAGUUCAGAAAGUAGAAGAGUUUGUCCUUACCCAGGUAAAAGCACCCUACAGGCCUAUAUCCCAGGAAAUAAUCUGA